AACGAACGCUGGCGGCAUGCCUAACACAUGCAAGUCGAACGAGACCUUCGGGUCUAGUGGCGCAUGGGUGCGUAACGCGUGGGAACCUGCCCUUAGGUUCGGAAUAACUCCCAGAAAGGGGUGCUAAUACCGGAUAAUGUCUUCGGACCAAAGAUUUAUCGCCUUUGGAUGGGCCCGCGUUGGAUUAGCUAGUUGGUAGGGUAAAAGCCUACCAAGGCGACGAUCCAUAGCUGGUCUGAGAGGAUGAUCAGCCACACUGGGACUGAGACACGGCCCAGACUCCUACGGGAGGCAGCAGUGGGGAAUAUUGGACAAUGGGCGAAAGCCUGAUCCAGCAAUGCCGCGUGAGUGAUGAAGGCCUUAGGGUUGUAAAGCUCUUUUACCCGGGAUGAUAAUGACAGUACCGGGAGAAUAAGCUCCGGCUAACUCCGUG
rnacentral:rRNA from 1 species